UGCUAAUCUGCGAUAAGCGUCGGUAAGGUGAUAUGAACCAUUAUAACCGGCGAUUUCCGAAUGGGGAAACCCAGUGUGAUUCGUCACACUAUCAUUAACUGAAUCCAUAGGUUAAUGAGGCGAACCGGGGGAACUGAAACAUCUAAGUACCCCGAGGAAAAGAAAUCAACCGAGAUUCCCCCAGUAGCGGCGAGCGAACGGGGAGCAGCCCAGAGCCUGAAUCAGUGUGUGUGUUAGUGGAAGCGUCUGGAAAGGCGUGCGAUACAGGGUGACAGCCCCGUACACAAAAAUGCACAUAUUGUGAGCUCGAUGAGUAGGGCGGGACACGUGGUAUCCUGUCUGAAUAUGGGGGGACCAUCCUCCAAGGCUAA
rnacentral:rRNA from 1 species